rnacentral:rRNA from 1 species
AGAGUUUGAUCCUGGCUCAGGACGAACGCUGGCGGCGUGCUUAACACAUGCAAGUCGAGCGGAAAGGCCCUUCGGGGUACUCGAGCGGCGAACGGGUGAGUAACACGUGAGUAACCUGCCCCGAACUUUGGGAUAACCCUCGGAAACGGGGGCUAAUACCGGAUACGACCUUCCCUCGCAUGGGGGUUGGUGGAAAGUUCUUCGGCUGAGGAUGGGCCCGCGGCCUAUCAGCUUGUUGGUGGGGUGAUGGCCUACCAAGGCGACGACGGGUAGCCGGCCUGAGAGGGCGACCGGCCACACUGGGACUGAGACACGGCCCAGACUCCUACGGGAGGCAGCAGUGGGGAAUAUUGCGCAAUGGGCGGAAGCCUGACGCAGCGACGCCGCGUGAGGGAUGAAGGCCUUCGGGUUGUAAACCUCUUUCAGCAGGGACGAAGCGAGAGUGACGGUACCUGCAGAAGAAGCACCGGCCAACUACGUGCCAGCAGCCGCGGUAAUACGUAGGGUGCAAGCGUUGUCCGGAAUUAUUGGGCGUAAAGAGCUCGUAGGCGGUCUGUCGCGUCGGCUGUGAAAACUCGGGGCUCAACCCCGAGCCUGCAGUCGAUACGGGCAGACUAGAGUGCUGUAGGGGGAGACUGGAAUUCCUGGUGUAGCGGUGAAAUGCGCAGAUAUCAGGAGGAACACCGGUGGCGAAGGCGGGUCUCUGGGCAGUAACUGACGCUGAGGAGCGAAAGCGUGGGGAGCGAACAGGAUUAGAUACCCUAGUAGUCC